rnacentral:rRNA from 1 species
CAGCAGCCACGGUAAUACGUAGGUCCCGAGCGUUGUCCGGAUUUAUUGGGCGUAAAGCGAGCGCAGGCGGUUAGAUAAGUCUGAAGUUAAAGGCUGUGGCUUAACCAUAGUACGCUUUGGAAACUGUUUAACUUGAGUGCAAGAGGGGAGAGUGGAAUUCCAUGUGUAGCGGUGAAAUGCGUAGAUAUAUGGAGGAACACCGGUGGCGAAAGCGGCUCUCUGGCUUGUAACUGACGCUAAUGCGUGAAAGCGUGGGGAGCAAACAGGAUUAGAUACCCCUGUAGUCCCUGUCUCUUAUACA